GUCAGCGCAUAAUCUGGGGCCCAGAAAUAGAAGCAAAUGGCUCCAUCACUCAAGGCUCCGUGAAUUCCGCUCACAUGGCCCCAGUUCGCUGACCUACUUUCCCUCCCAGCCUGGGAGGAAGGUGCUCCCGCCCUGGGGGCAGCCGGCUCAGGGGCUGGAGUCAGGAGGGGCCGAGGCCCUGUCGCCCUGACUUGCUCUGUGACCUGGCAGGUCACCGAACCUCCCCGGGCCUCUGCUCACCGCCGUCAACUAGGUUAGAGGCUGUGCACCGGGGCUCUGGGAUCAGAGACAGGCCCGAAGUCAGCUGCUCGCGACGUCUGUGACCUUGGCGCAUCCCGCCCUCCGAGCUUCCUUCCUUCCUUUGAGGACAAAGUGGGGAUCAUCCCAGAAGCGACGCAGGGCCAUGCGGAGGAAAAGGGAGAGCGCCAGGCUGCAGGCCGUCACCCGCCAGCCACCGCGGAUGCCUUCCCCCCAGGGCUCCUCGCCGCCCCGUCUCAGCGACCCGGGCGCCCAGACGACGGAAGCCUCCUCGCAGGAAGCACAGCCAGUCUCCAGGCCCCGCCGUGCUGGAAUAUCUCCUUGGGAGAGAACGAGGUGCACCACGACUCACGGUCAAGGAUGUCCACUGCAGCACGCCUCAGGAUGCUGAAAACCCCGCACCGACCCAAUGCCCUUGAGCCGGAGACAGAUGGGACAGACCGCGGCCAAGUCUAGACAAUGGAGCACUCUGGGGCCACUGCGAAUGCUGAAGCCGGUGUGUAUUUAUAGCCACCGAAGGACAGCUAUGGGCCCUAAGUGGAAAAGGCCAACUACCAAACCGGAUUUACAGUAGGAUGCUGCUUUUGUGAAAUAAGAUGUAAAUGUGUUUAUAGGCAGAGAAGAAAGUCUGGAAGGCACCUCACUAACUGUUGACAGUGCUUCUUGCUGGGUGGGAGGAUGAGGGUGAUUUUUGCUGACUUUCUGUAGUUCCGCAUUAAAAUUUUUUUUCUUAC